rnacentral:rRNA from 1 species
GAUGAACGCUGGCGGCGUGCCUAAUACAUGCAAGUCGAGCGAACGGACGAGAAGCUUGCUUCUCUGAUGUUAGCGGCGGACGGGUGAGUAACACGUGGAUAACCUACCUAUAAGACUGGGAUAACUUCGGGUAACCGGAGCUAAUACCGGAUGAUAUUUUGAACCGCAUGGUUCAAAAGUGAAUGACGGUCUUGCUGUCACUUAUAGAUGGAUCCGCGCUGCAUUAGCUAGUUGGUAAGGUAACGGCUUGCCAAGGCAACAAUGCAUAGCCGACCUGAGAGGGUGAUGGGGCACACUGGGACUGGGACACGGUACAGACUCCUACGGGAGGCAGCGGUAGGGAAUCUUCCGCGAUGGGCGAAAGCCUGACGGAGCAGCGCCGCGUGAGUGAUGAAGGUCUUCGGAUCGUAAAACUCUGUUAUGAGGGAAGAACAUUUGUGUAAGUAACUGUGCACAUCUUGACGGUACCUAAUCAGAAAGCCACGGCUAACUACGUG